GAUUUCUCUCCAAGGAAUCUAUUACUAAAAAGAUGGAGCAAUCUGAAAUUGUGAUUGCAUAAUCCACUAGUAAACGUCACAAAGCAAUUGGGCAUGCCCAUGGACGUUGAUGGAGCUCUAGGGCUUCUCCGUUUUGGGUAUCUUGCUAUUGGCUCUCAUAUUCCAUUGCCUUGCGGAGCGGCGUCGCUGCUUUUACCGUUUGGGACCGGCCAUGAGAUCUAUAUUC
rnacentral:snoRNA from 1 species